AGCUCCAAUAGCGUAUAUUAAAGUUGUUGUGGUUAAAAAGCUCGUAGUUGGAUUUCGGCGGGGAUCGGUUGGUUUGUAUUGUUUCUACACUGACUUUUUUUCCCGGGUGUUUUGCCAGAAUCUUUUGGGCGAUUUUUUCCGUUUGUCCGUUGGAACUGGCAGGUUUACUUUGAAAAAAUUAGAGUGCUCAAAGCAAGCUUACUGCUUGAAUAGUUGCGCAUGGAAUAAUAGAAUAGGAAGUCGUUUCUAUUUUGUUGGUUUUCGGAAAUCGACUUAAUGAUUAAUAGGGAUAGUCGGGGGCAUUCGUAUUCAAACGACAGAGGUGAAAUUCUUGGACCGUUUGAAGACGAACUAAGGCGAAAGCAUUUGCCAAGAAUGUUUUCA
rnacentral:rRNA from 1 species